rnacentral:rRNA from 1 species
CGACGGGUGAGUAACACGUAUGCAAUCCACCUGUAACAGGGGAGUAACCCGGAGAAAUCCGACUAAUACCCAUAAUAUGGGCGCUCCGCAUGGAGAGUCCAUUAAAGAGAGCAAUCUUGGUUACAGACGAGCAUGCGCUCCAUUAGCCAGUUGGCGGGGUAACGGCCCACCAAAGCGACGAUGGAUAGGGGUUCUGAGAGGAAGGUCCCCCACAUUGGAACUGAGACACGGUCCAA